AAGAAAUAUUCGGUACCUAUUCCCGAAUCACGACUUGCGUUGGCGGAUUAUUAUAAUGAGGACGUUGCUUACACAAAUGCCUGAAUAUUUAAAAGGUAAUAUUCGCGUAGGCACCUUUAUUUUUUUUUUUUCUAAACACCCAUUUUUUCAUUUAAAAAAUUGGUUUUUCGAUUCGACUUGUAUAUUUGAUGUCGUUGUUAAUUGUCGAUUUGUUGUAGGUAUCCGUUAAUCAGAACCGCACAAUGAACGGAUUUACGGUUUUUACAAGGAAAAAGGUGUACGGAAAAAAUUAACCCCAUAAACUGCAAGAGCGGCUCCAGAGACUCGGUUGGGGGGGGAGGCUAAAUCAUAUUUUUCAGAUAAUUGUACAGCCAAAAGCAUAUUUAUGCAAUAUCAAGCGAAAAAACGUAAUCGUCAUUGCCGUUAUUAUUACCAAAAUGAUUUGACUGCGAACCGACACUUUCAAUACUAUUUAAAUGUUUAUCUGACAGUUCACAGUAGUACAUCUCCACUAUCUACAGACUUUUGUAGGUACUAAACAUUCAGAAGAAAAUUGUGAAAGCUGAUUGGUGUUGUUUUUUUCUUAAUUAAUACUUAAAUGUAACGAUUAAAAUGUCCUCUUGACAUCAAAGGUAGGUAGUUAUUUGUUUUUUUUUUUUUUUUAAAUCAGAGUUUAUAGUUUUUAUGCAUAUUAAUAUGGUCAAAUAUUUAUAACAAUUAACAUCACCCCCCCCCAUCCCCGUAAACAAAUUCUAAUUACCUGCGCCACUGACGUGAUGCAACAACAAAUAUUGUUCAGUUCACGUUUAAGAAGUAAGUUAAGUUAUUGAUAUGGAACAAUAUAGAAAAAAAAAAUGGGUCGGAGAGUCCGGCCGGGGACGCCACCCGAAAGGACACUGUUUUGUUGUUGAAUAAAGUAUCAUUCAAUAAUAUUUUCGGUUAAAUUUAUUUUGCAAGUUUCUACCGAGUGUGGCGCAUGUGACACACGUAAGUGAGUAGGAAAGGUGCACAAAUGUCUACAAGACGCUGGGUAACGUCAUAAAAAUCGUGUAAAACGGGGUAUAUUCUGAUUCCUAAUGAUUUUUGUCAAGAACGCGAUUUCAAAAAUUCCAAAACGUUGCAUUAUACAUUUGCAUGCAAUAAUAUACACAGGUACACACCUUUUUAAAGCGAUUUUUACAAGACGUGACGUUCGUCUUCAGUUCUAAUACAAUCGAUGUUUGCAUCUAACCCGACCCGUAUGCAUAACAAUUAUUAAUACUGAACGGCAAAAUAUUUAAACUAUAAAUGCAUAGUUAAAUGUAUAAAUAUUGGAUAAUUGGGUAAUUCGUUAUAUGGGACACAAAAGACUGAUGUACCCACACGGUUUCAAGAGCAAAAUAAUACAUAAUUAUAUAAACUGUUUAAUUUGAAAAAAAAAUUAAGUAUACAUUUAUUUUACCAUAGAUAAUGAAUUGCUAUUUGUCCCGUGCGUUUAUUAUAGUAUAUACUUUACUGUUAAAGUGUUCUAUCGCGUAUUUUGGGAUAAUUGUGAAAACGCAUAUAACUGCUAACCAUUUAAAGGGAAAAUGUAAAUUUAAAAUUGUUCACUUGAUAAUUUAUGAUAAUUAUAAUAAUUAUCAUUAAAUAAUUAUUAUUUAUAUAAUUUAUAAAGACAAUUUAGAACGCGGAUAACCGGU